AGUGAUGACGAGAAUGUCAAUGAUGUAUCCGAAUGAUGAUGUAAUUUUCUUUAAUAUGAUUUACUUUGAGACAUAAUGCAAGUGUUUAGUUUGUUUAAUCAUGAAAAUUAAAUUAUAUAAUUUUAUUUUGUGUCAGGCAAUUGGGGGUUUGGGGUUUAGAAAGAAGAGAUUGAGUGAUGAAGUUAAGGAACUUGGGGUUUGGGGGUUUCGGGUUAUAGGGAUUUGCAUAUCUUCCUCGUAAAACCCUCGUAAAAAA
rnacentral:lncRNA from 1 species